UACGGGGGGGGCAAGCGUUGUUCGGAAUUACUGGGCGUAAAGGGCGCGUAGGCGGCCUACUAAGUCGGACGUGAAAUCCCUCGGCUCAACCGAGGAACUGCGUCCGAUACUGGCAGGCUGGAAUCCGGGAGAGGGAUGUGGAAUUCCAGGUGUAGCGGUGAAAUGCGUAGAUAUCUGGAGGAACACCGGUGGCGAAGGCGGCAUCCUGGACCGGCAUUGACGCUGAGGCGCGAAAGCUAGGGGAGCAAACGGGG
rnacentral:rRNA from 1 species